rnacentral:rRNA from 1 species
UACGAAGGGGGCUAGCGUUGCUCGGAAUCACUGGGCGUAAAGCGCACGUAGGCGGCUUUCUAAGUCAGGGGUGAAAUCCUGGAGCUCAACUCCAGAACUGCCCUUUGAUACUGGCGAUCUUGAGUCCGGGAGAGGUGAGUGGAACUGCGAGUGUAGAGGUGAAAUUCGUAGAUAUUCGCAAGAACACCAGUGGCGAAGGCGGCUCACUGGCCCGGUACUGACGCUGAGGUGCGAAAGCGUGGGGAUCAAACAGG